rnacentral:rRNA from 1 species
AGCGAACGCUGGCGGCAUGCCUAACACAUGCAAGUCGAACGAUGCUUUCGGGCAUAGUGGCGCGCGGGUGCGUAACGCGUGGGAAUCUGCCCUUGGGUUCGGAAUAACUCAGGGAAACUUGUGCUAAUACCGAAUGUGCCCUUCGGGGGAAGGAUUUAUCGCCUUUAGAGCGGCCCGCGUCUGAUUAGCUGGUUGGUGAGGUAAUGGCUCACCAAGGCUACGAUCAGUAGCUGGUCUGAGAGGAUGACCAGCCACAUUGGGACUGAGACACGGCCCAAACUCCUACGGGAGGCAGCAGUGGGGAAUCUUGCGCAAUGGGCGAAAGCCUGACGCAGCCAUGCCGCGUGGAUGAUGAAGGUCUUAGGAUUGUAAAAUCCUUUCACCGGUGAAGAUAAUGACUGUAGCCGGAGAAGAAGCCCCGGCUAACUUCGUGCCAGCAGCCGCCGUAAGAC